AUAUGUGUAUUUUUUUCAAAAAUACUUUUCAAAAGAGUGGUUUUGGGAAAAAGCUAUUUUUUAGUUUCUGAAAAAACUGUUUCUGCUAUUCCCUAAAAACACUUAUUUUCUCCCAAAAGCUUGGCCAAACACCUUAUUUUUUUUUUAAAAUAAGCACUUAUUGAUAAAAUAUGUACUUUUUAGGGAAAAAUAAACUUGGCCAAACAGGCUAUAAGUGUUAUGUCCCGUAUUUUUAUACAUUGGGACAACCCGGAUUAACUAUGAUAAUUUUGGGCCAAGACUAUUCCGGGAUUUGAAGUCGGGACUUUUGACUUGUGAUUUUAUUUUGAGACAUAAGUUAUAUAUGAAAUUGUUGGCAUUGAACACUUACAAAAAAUUGGGACCAAAAUUCAAAAAUUGGAAUUAAAAAUCUUGCAAAUGAGGCCUUGUGGCCCUCAAAUGGUCCACACAUUGUGUGGCCAAUUUUAAUUGGUCCAACACAUGUGUGGGCCUAAGUCAUGGAGAUAUUUUUAAGGGGACUUAAAAGAUGACCACUUAGUCAUCUUUCUUCAUUUGAAACUUAGCAAAAAAAAAAAAUAUAUACAUCAAGAAGGUGAAGACCAUCACCAUUCUCGGCCAAGACUUGGAAAAACCAAGUCCCAUUUCAAGCCACUCUAAAAAUAUUUCCUUGGUUCAAAUCAACUAAUUAGAGGUCCCUAAGUAGCGUGGAAGCAUUUUUGGAGCGAUCAAGGCAUCCAUUUAAGAGAUUGCAAACCCUAACCCAUUGUGGAGUUGAAGAGGAAAGACAUUGGGGAGCCCGAGGCGUAGAUUGGGAUUAGCUUUAGUCGGGUUAGCUUGGAGUGCGUACGAGGUACAGACGCACAGUUUGGUGAUCCACCAGUCUAGGACACCCUCUUCUGCCGUUUGGAGUGCUCUUCUCAUUUCAGAGCAUAUAUUUUGGUAUAUAUUCGUUCGCUGUGUAUGUAUAUAUUUGUUCAGGGGUACGGCGGGGCCCUGUCCCGUCAUAUGUUUCGGUUGGUCUGUUUAGAGGUCUGUAGACAUAUUUGUGGGUGUAUGUGCCUACUUCUGUUAAGAUGUGGUUGUACGAUCUUAUUCGCUAUGACAACCUUGUCGACGUGCAUUUUGUAUAUGUUUUGGGGCCGUUGUGCCAUUUGAUAGCCUGGUCGGCUUUUGAUAUAUAUAUAUCUGCAUACGGUUGCGUUGAGAUGUGUUUGAAAUAGUUUGAUAUA